ACACUCUCAAGAACAUCAGAGCCGUCGGUGCGUGUCCAUCUGUGUGUAUUUUUAUAGUGGUGUUAACGGAUUAAUAGAAUAACUUUUCACGUGUGUGCAAGUGCAAUAUUCGAAGUGCUCCACAAUCUAGUAACUUUUAUAAAAAAUCAUGAGGAUUUUAUUUUUCACAUUUUUGAUUUGCUCAUUUGCGACAAAUUUUGGAAAUGCUUGCGACGAGAACGAUUGUCAGGACGAUUACGAUGAAAUUGAUGACGUCAUUGCUCGCGGAGGACCAAGAUUUGCUUGCAGACCACUGAAAGAAUACGUGGACUGUCUCAAAGAUCACCUAGAGGAUUGCCCUACACAACACAGAACUGCCAUACAAAACGUCAGGUCAAAAUGGACACAGUAUAUCAGCACAUGCGCACUGACACUUCCAUUCCAAGACGAUGACAGCAGUGAGAGACUGCGUGACGAGCAAACAAGAAAUGACGAGGUUCGGAGUCAGCUGAAUGGCAUGGUAUCGCUGUCACAGUCUAACAUCAACCAAUAUGUCGGCACCCAGAGAACGGCAGGCGAUCAGGUUCUGGGGAACCUAGCCGCCGAUAAAAUAGCGGAAGGUUUAGAAAAAAUGAGCGAAAAUGUGAACAACUUGAUGGAAAAAAGCGACAACUUGCAGGACUUCGUGGGCACGGUGCGAGACAUCAUCAUUCCCAAGAUAAACAACGUUCAGCCAAUCAUUCAACAGUUGUCUGACAAAAGGAAGGCUAAAGUCGACGACGACCGAGAUGACUCCAAGGUGGAAGAUGAAGACGACAACGAAACAAACGAUAGUAAGAGUAGGAAGUCGGCCAUUCUUCCCGAUGACACCGUCAGCGUGGAGGUUUUGAGCACCAUUGUUGAUUUCCUGAACGACCAUCUUUCAGCAGACGAUGGAGAAAUCAAAACAGAUCUAGCAGACGACAGUACGGAAGACGAUCAAGAGGACAACGACGUUUCUAAUGACGUUGAUACCUCACUUGAACACACUGAUGAUAGCCACGAGGACGACAAUGAAACCAAGGAUUCCAGGGAAAAUGGCGACGACCAAACGGACGAUUCAAGGGAGGAAGACGCAGACGUUUCAUUAGAAGUUAGUCUUGGUAGUGGUUUAUUGGAAAACUUGGUCGAAAUUGACGAAUCUGGCGAAAAUGAAGUUAACAUUUUUAAUGUCAAGAGUCUUAUUGAUGAUUCUAAUGAAAAUGACGGCGACGAAAAUGACAGCAAUGAAGAUGACGAUUAUGAGGACAAUUCUGUAGAAAAGCAGUUGCUAGAUGACAGCAACGAAAACGAUUCACAUGAUGAUGCAAGUCUUCACGAUGGUAACAGUGAUGAAAACGAUGAUCAUCAACACAGCGAGUCAGACGAUUACCAUGACGAUAGUAACAACAACAGCGAUGAAAACGAUAGAAAUAAACACGACGAAAGCAAUCAAAUUGAUGAUAGCCAUGACAAUGAUGAUAGCCAUGACAACAACGAUAGCCAUGGAGACGACCAUAGCCAUGACAAUGACGGUAGCCAUGGCAAUGACGAUAGCCAAGGCGACGACCAUAGCCAUGACAAUGACGAUAGCCAUGACAACGACGAUAGCCAUGGCGACGACCAUAGCCAUGACAACGAUGAUAGCCAUGACAACAACGAUAGUCAUGAUAGCAAUGACAUCAACGAUAGUCAUGACACCGAUGAUAGCCAUGACCACGAUAGUCAUCAUGAUGAUGACAGUCAUGCCCAUGAUGAUUCACAUGAACAUGGAAGCACGACAGCCGUCAGAGAUCCAUCUACGGGUACCGCUAAUGACGGAGGCAAUUCGCGUCGAAAGUCUGGGAUGACGGUUGGCGGGGUCCACCAAUACAGCUCAAUGAAUAAAGGAAAUUCUGGCGAGUCUCUGGUUUCUACUUGGACUACGAUCAUUGUUCUCUGCGUUGCCCUAGUGAUGUAAAAACAACGUCUAAACUUAAAAAAAAAAAUUAAACCCUUACCACCAAUUCUUCCAUUCUCUAAGUGCCAUACUGCAGAGGAAGCAAGUGAUGCUUACAAACCCGUGUCUGUGUUCUGUUGGAUGUGCUACAAUAUUCGUCCUUUUUGUUGAAGAGAGUUUGUAUUAUUGUGACUGGUGCUACAUUUGAACAAAUGCUUUCUGUCUUUUUUUUCUAUUUUAUUAUUAUUAUCAAUUUUUUUGUUUUUUUCAAUAAAAUUAAAUUCGUUUCCUUUU
rnacentral:misc_RNA from 1 species